GUGUCAGCAGCCGCGGUAAUACGUAGGUGUCGAGCGUUGUCCGGAUUUAUUGGGCGUAAAGAGCCCGCAGGCGGCUUGGUAAGUUCGAGGUGAAAUCUCCCGGCUUAACUGGGAGGGUGCCUCGAAAACUAUCAGGCUUGAGGCAUGGAGAGGGAUGCAGAAUUCCAGGUGUAGCGGUGAAAUGCGUAGAUAUCUGGAGGAAUACCAGUGGCGAAGGCGGCAUCCUGGCCAUGUCCUGACGCUCAGGGGCGAAAGCGUGGGGAGCAAACCGGAUUAGAUACCCGCGUAGUCC
rnacentral:rRNA from 1 species